rnacentral:rRNA from 1 species
CCUCAGUAACGGCGAGUGAAGAGGGAAGAGCUCAGUUUUGAAAUCUGGCAGUGAUUCACUGUCCGAGUUGUAAAUUGAAGAGACUGUCAUCCACACUGGACCAUGUCUAAAUUGUAAUGAUCCACAGUCCUUUGAUGGAGUAUCAGAGAGGGUAAUAAUCCCGUCUUUAACGUGGACUCCCAGUGUUUAUGUGAUGCUCUCUCUCAGAGUCGAGUAGUUUGGGAAUGCUGCUCUAAUGGGAGGUAAAUUCCUUCUAAAGCUAAAUAUUGGCGAGAGACCGAUAGCGAACAAGUACCGUGAGGGAAAGAUGAAAAGAACUCUGAAAAGAGAGUCAAACAGAACGUGAAAUUGCUGAAAGGGAAGCGUUUGAAGUCAGAUACAUCUUCAUGGAAUAACGGCUCAGUUCGUAGAGACUGAGAUCAGUGACUUGAAGAUGGGCCAGUACUCACGUAGACCAUUGGAAAAGGGGUCAUGGAAUGUAGCUCGAUGUAUAUUGAGUGAUUAUAGCCUUGAUCUAUAUACAAUGUGUAUGAUGUGAGACUCACAGC